GACGAACGCUGGCGGCGUGCCUAAUACAUGCAAGUCGAGCGGACGAAUCGAAAGCUUGCUUUUGAUUCGUUAGCGGCGGACGGGUGAGUAACACGUGUGCAACCUGCCCUGUAGACGGGGAUAACACCGAGAAAUCGGUGCUAAUACCGGAUAACACGAAAUGUCGCAUGACGUUUCGUUGAAAGACGGCGCAAGCUGUCGCUACAGGAUGGGCCCGCGGCGCAUUAGCUAGUUGGUGAGGUAACGGCUCACCAAGGCGACGAUGCGUAGCCGACCUGAGAGGGUGAUCGGCCACACUGGGACUGAGACACGGCCCAGACUCCUACGGGAGGCAGCAGUAGGGAAUCUUCCGCAAUGGACGAAAGUCUGACGGAGCAACGCCGCGUGAGCGAAGAAGGCCUUCGGGUCGUAAAGCUCUGUUGUUAGGGAAGAACAAGUAACGCAGUAACUGGCGUUACCGUGACGGUACCUAACGAGAAAGCCACGGCUAACUACGUG
rnacentral:rRNA from 1 species